GAUGAACGUUGGCGGCGUGCCUAAUACAUGCAAGUCGAACGAAGACUGUAGUAAUACUGUCUUAGUGGCGAACGGGUGAGUAACGCGUGGGUGACCUGCCCCGAAGUGUGGGAUAACAGUUCGAAAGGAUUGCUAAUACUGCAUAAUAUCCAAGAGAUUAGACGCUUUUGGAUUAAAGGAGUAAUUCGCUUCGGGAGGGGCCCGCGUCCCAUCAGCUAGUUGGUAAGGUAAUGGCUUACCAAGGCGAUGACGGGUAGGGGGCCUGAGAGGGUGGCCCCCCACAAUGGAACUGAAACACGGUCCAUACACCUACGGGUGGCAGCAGUAGGGAAUAUUAGUAAUGGGCGAAAGCCUGAACUAGCAACGCCGCGUGUGCGAAGAAGGCCUUCGGGUUGUAAAGCACUUUUUGUAGAGGAUGAGGAAGGACGGUACGUCUCAGAAUAAGUCUCGGCUAACUACGUG
rnacentral:rRNA from 1 species